rnacentral:sRNA from 1 species
UCACCAUGCCAAAACCCACAAUGUUGUCACCUCUUUCUCCUUCCACGUCAGUCUGUCCCACCCCCCAAA